rnacentral:rRNA from 1 species
UGGGGAAUUUUGGACAAUGGGGGCAACCCUGAUCCAGCCAUGCCGCGUGUCUGAAGAAGGCCCUCGGGUUGUAAAGGACUUUUAUCGGGGAGGAAAGAUUGCAGGUUAAGAGCUAGCAAUUCUGACAGUACUCGAAGAAUAAGCACCGGCUAACUACGUGCCAGCAGCCGCGGUAAUACGUAGGGUGCAAGCGUUAAUCGGAAUUACUGGGCGUAAAGGGUGCGCAGGCGGAAAGGCAAGUCUGAUGUGAAAUCCCCGGGCUUAACCUGGGAACUGCAUUGGAAACUGCCAUUCUAGAGUAAGGGAGAGGGAGACGGAAUUCCACGUGUAGCAGUGAAAUGCGUAGAGAUGUGGAGGAACACCGAUGGCGAAGGCAGUCUCCUGGACCAUUACUGACGCU